rnacentral:rRNA from 1 species
GAUGAACGCUGGCGGCGUGCCUAAUACAUGCAAGUCGAGCGAACGGACGAGAAGCUUGCUUCACUGAUGUUAGAGGCGGACGGGUGAGUAAAAUGUGGUUAACCUAUCUAUAAGAUUGGGAUAACUUCGGGAAACUGGAGCUAAAACCGGAUGAUCUUUUGAACCUCAUGGUUCAAAAGUGAAAGAUGGUUUUGCUGUCACUUAUAGAUGGAUCCGCGCUGCAUUUGCUAGUUGGGAAGGUCACGGCUUACCAAGGCAACGAUGCAUAGCCGACCUGAGAGGGGGAUCCGCCACACUAGAACUGAGACACGGUCCAGACUCCUGCGGGAGGGAACAGUAGGGAAUCUUGCGGAAUGGGCGAAAGCUUGACGGAGCAAGGCCGCGUGAUGGAUGAAGGUCUUCGGAUCGUAAAACUCUGUUAUUAUGGAAGAACAUAUGUGUAGGUAACUAUGCACAUCUUGACGGUACCUAAACAGAAAGCCACGGCUAACUACGUG